CUAGCAGCAUCCACUUCCAUCUAAAUCUACGUUUUGGGCUUCUAGAGAAGAAGAAGAGUCGGAUAAAUUAGAUUUUCAUCCGUGUUGAUUGGUAGAAAAGCGGGAAAAGCGUGCAUGAUGAGUUUGCUAAUUCAAAUGGCUCUGGCAAUGCUCAUCUUGUUCCUGUUUGCGGCCUCCUCUGGACGGGGCCAGGUUGGCCAGGAGUUGAGCUUGCUGCCGAAUUGACCUCUUUUUAGCCUCCAGAUUUUUAUGCAGGAAGGAAUGCAGCAGCCGAGGCGGCUGCUAUGGCCCGAUGGCGGCCGAGACACCGCCGCCGAGUUGAAGCAGUCCAGCAUCGAAAAUCUGGACAAGGAGCAGAUUGAAGAGCCUGAAAUUGCCGACUCUUCUGAAGAGGAAAAACACUGAGCAACUCAAACCUGCUGUGGUCAAAGUUACUGCAGAUACAGCAAAGGAAAAUCAGAAACAACAGGAAUACAGCAAUUCUCUCUUAUUGGCGGGCCUCCUUACGGGGCUACUCACAAUUUGCACGGGUUUGCUGUAUGCGAUCAAGUUGUGCAUGGAAUCUGCCCUAAUCGUGGAUGUCUAAUUGAAUCAGCUCUCCGACGGCGGGUCUUGCGUGUGCUGACACUUUGAUUUUUAAAUUUACUCCUUAGUUCACACCAUUGUUGGGCCUAAUUAAUUAAUCUUUAUUUAUUUUUAUAGUUUGUAAGCACUUUACAAGUUGUGCUGUUUAUAAAAGCGAACAUCUUACAUAAUGCAUAAAAUAAAAUUAUCAUUGAGACUUGAAAAAAGUGCAAAUAUACUAAUUUUAAUCAUGAUAGCUACAUUUUCGCUAUAAAAUUAUUGUAAAGCAGAUUUUAUGCCUCGAUACGCACAUUGGAUCAUAAAAAUAAACGCCUGAAAUUCAAGGAUAAGCAACUUCCUGGACAAAGCUGCGGUGCAAAUUGCCUAUUUCAUCGCAGUAGAAGACGGGUUUUGCUUUCUGUUAAAAUUUUAUAAGUGAAACGGAUAGAGCUAAUUAUUUACGCCAUUAUUAAAUUACAAUUUUGGCACUUGACGUGUGCUUCAAAUAAAUUCAAUUCUGCUAUCAGUUUGUUCUUGGCGUUGAAAUAUUUAUGUUGGAAACCGAAACCAGUUCCGCCAAGCGCGUUAA